rnacentral:rRNA from 1 species
AUACGGAGGGUGCAAGCGUUAACCGGAAUUACUGGGCGUAAAGCGCGCGUAGGCGGAUAUUUAAGUCUCAUGUGAAAGCCCUGGGCUCAACCUGGGAACUGCAUGGGAUACUGGGUAUCUAGAAUACAGUAGAGGGUAGUGGAAUUUCAGGUGUAGCGGUGAAAUGCGUAGAGAUCUGAAGGAACAUCAGUGGCGAAGGCGACUACCUGGACUGAUAUUGACGCUGAGGUGCGAAAGCGUGGGGAGCAAACGGGAUUAGAUACCCUAGUAGUCC